AAACUCAAAUGAAUUGGCGGGGGCCCGCACAAGCAGCGGAGCAUGUGGUUUAAUUCGAAGCAACGCGAAGAACCUUACCUAGACUUGACAUCUCCUGAAUUACCCGUAACUGGGGAAGCUCUUCGGAGCAGGAAGACAGGUGGUGCAUGGUUGUCGUCAGCUCGUGUCGUGAGAUGUUGGGUUAAGUCCCGCAACGAGCGCAACCCUUAUCGUUAGUUGCUACCAUUAAGUUGAGCACCCUAGCGAGACUGCCCGGGUUAACCGGGAGGAAGGUGGGGAUGACGUCAAAUCAUCAUGCCCCUUAUGUCUAGGGCUACACACGUGCUACAAUGGUGAGGACAAAGAGACGCAAGACCGCGAGGUGGAGCAAAUCUCACAAACCUCAUCCCAGUUCGGAUUGCAGGCUGAAACUCGCCUGCAUGAAGCCGGAGUUGCUAGUAAUCGCGAAUCAGCAUGUCGCGGUGAAUACGUUCCCGGGCCUUGCACACACCGCCCGU
rnacentral:rRNA from 1 species